UCCUGUCACUAGAAAUAUUUUUACUUUUCUAGCUGCACCACUACUUUCUCUUUAUUUAAAAAGAAAGAAGUUUAACUCCCUUUUGGAAACUAUGCCCCAUUGUAGUAGAUAUGUGGAUUUUGUUGCUCUUGCAAGGUUAUCAAACUGUUCUUGUGUUUGUUGAAUGUUGUUCUAAGCUUUACUUAGGAAAACACAAAGGUUGGUGUUUAUUGCCCCAAACUGUGUGCUUGUUAAUGCUUGUUGGCUUUUCUGUGAUGCUUAGGUUAAACUCUCUUGUGCCUUUUAAAAUAAAUUAUUUUAUCGUAAAUGUAAGCAUCCUGACUGCAUGUGGCUUAUGAUGAAGGGAAUACCUCCUGUGUAGGGUCCUUCUAUUUUUAAAGAUUCCUGUAGUUCCUAGUGAGUUUGAAUCCCUCUUCCUUGCACCAUGCACAGUUACUCUGCAUUUCCAGUCCUCUGUUUGUAGUAAGAGCAUAACCCCCCUGCCCCAAACAAAACCAACUGACUAACCAACCAACCUGUCAGGGAGGCCUUAGCCAAAGUAAGAAAUUGACUAAGGUCUUGCUGACAGGUUUUUGUGUUUGUUUUAACAGACUAAGCUCUCUUUCCAGAAGCUCUCCUUUUUUUCCUAGCAUUUCCAAAGAGUCUGCUCAAACUCCUCCUCAGUAUCUAUUUUCUGCUGACGAGUCAUAAUCUUAGGUUGUCAUAUUGCUGAUAAUCACAUUGCAUUUCACUACAGCCUACCUUGUGAUAGCCCUUAUGAUAGCAUCCCUGCCCUCAGGUGGUAUCCUCAGUGACAAAGCCUUUGCUUCCUGAGGAGGAUCUGCUGCAGAAUCAUUCCCUGUCAUUAGACUUGCACUUUCUUUCCACAUAACUUUCUUCCUUUUUCACAGGACAGGUGUUACCAGCUUAAGCUGCUGUCAUCAAAGGGGUCGUUGAACAGUCUGCUGGAGUUCCUUGGCCUCAAGGUCCAGACUUUUUCAUGAGGAUGCUGCGCUGCCUGUGUCCUGUGCUCCUGGGGCUGCUAGUUCAGCAGCUGUUGGUGCAAUGGAUUUGGAAUCCAUUUGAUUGAUGUGAUGUGAUGUGAUGUGAUGGAGUUGGCAACAGCCGGAAGAGCCAAGAAUGCUCUGUGAGGCACUGUGUAAACUCCACACUUCUAGAUUCUUGUUUUAAGGAGUACUAGCCAAGCUGCUUCCAGUAUCUGGGAAAGGGACAAAGCAACACUAAAUAACUUCACUGCGUGUUAAAGUCUGGGAUGACCAUCUAUCUCCAGUGAGGCUAGCUAAAAGAAGUCCAGCGGAAGAAACUUGGAUCAGAAAGGCUGU